GGAGAUCAUUGGCUGGGUCUAGCUAGGGAUGCAGAAACGGAGCCAGUGAGGGCAUCCUUUCUUGCGCGGGGACGACAACAGCCGAGGUUGAGCGAUGUGGAGCAUCAGAGCGGCGAGGACUUGGGUGCUGUUGGCUUCUUUGGUGGGGAGACGGACAAUGAUCUCGCCGAGGAUGGCGUCUGGGAGGUCGCUGAUGAAGUCGACGCCUUCUUCCUCAUCUUCUUCCUCCGCCACAGGGCCUUGCGUAAUGUGCCUAACUGCCUACUAGUUAGUCUCCCGACGCAAGUUGGAACUGUGAAGAGAGCACACAAUUCAAGUUGCUCACCAAUGGAAGGAAUACCAAUUCUCCACAUCAGCGUGGUUGAUUUGUCUGCUCAGAGCUACAACAAGCUGAUGGACGAUAUUGGAGGCCGUUUUCAGCGGAGGGCACACCACAACUUCAGGAAUGUUCCUAUAACAAGCAAUGAGGAGGGGUGGCACAUAAUAUCUCUUGACAUGCCUGAGUCACCAUCUGUUCAGAUACUCAUUGACCAAAGAAAUGCAUAUUUGAUUGCCAUCCGAAAUGGUGCCGGUCAGUGGUUCAACUUCUCUGACACGCCAGCCCCUGACAUUUUCAAUGCCCAACCUAUCUUGUACCUGAAAGCAGACUAUGGUCACCUUCUUCAGGACUGGGAUGAGGUUACAGUGGGGCACCGUCUACUACUGAACUUCAACAAUGGUCUUCCGCGUGACCACCCACUUCUUCAUGUCCAAAGGAGAGCAAUUGCACGCUUAGCAGUGAUGUUUUGUGAAGCUGCACGCCUGAGAUCAGUCAGAGCGCUCGUUUCUCACCAAAUGGACCUAUAUAUGAAUGGAACGAUCACAAGCCUCAUUACAAGGAAGAGAAUCACGAGCUGGGACCUGAUUUCUGGAUUUGCAUUACAUUGCUGGAGCCGGGAGCAGGAUGGCAUCGGAGGAUAUCUUCAGACCGAGCUUGACAAACUUCGCCGGAUCGGCAUCUAUGCUGCAAAUCAUGUUGCGGGCGAACCAGAUGGUGAGUUGCUGCUCAUCCUUUACAGACAAGACGUGUGCGCUAACCUGCAACAGCCUGCGCAGCAACAGCAGUGA
rnacentral:lncRNA from 1 species